UGAUCUUCUUGAGUCGCCGCCACACAGUGCCACACGUGACACUGCACAGGGCACCCAUAUCCGGAAACCCAGUAUUUACAGCCUGUUUCACUGUUCUGCAAAGAAAUUACUGAUCAUCUGCCUGUCUGUUGCAUCUCAAGUACACAAGAAUGACAGUUCAGAAAAAAUACAACAAAUGACCCAGAAUUGUAAGAGUUAUUUUAAAAGAUUUGUUAUUAUAGGUGGUGUGUCAUCAACAGCAUGCUGUGGUGAAGGGCAUUAUUGUGGUAGGCAAUGGAUUGGAUGUAUGGAGUAACCAGGAGGCUUACGAUGGCCUUGAAUGAUAGCACCAGAUGAAAGCUGUCUUGAUAAGUACAGUUCAUCGGAGGCCUUCGAAAUCCUAGAUCUUGGCACUGCAUGCAGUAGUUGACUUUGGAAGUCCCAGAGAGACUGAACCCUUCUAAGUUUCUCAAAAAGUGCUAUAUAUGCAGAUAAGGCUUGGACUCGGAUUGAGUGGUGGUGCUUUACGUGGACAAGGCUUGGACUGGGAUUGAGAGCUGGUACUUAAUAUGUGGAUAAGGCUUGGAUUUGGAAGUGAUGCUGUACGUGUGUAAGGCUUGGACUGGGAUUGAGAGCUGGUACUUAAUACGUGGAUAAGGCUUGGAUUUGGAAGUGAUGCUGUACGUGUGUAAGGCUUGGACUCGGUUUGAGAUGUGGUGCUGUAAGUGGAUAAGGCUUGCACUCAGAUUGAGAGGUGGUGCUUUACGUGGAUAAGGCUCUACGCCGAAACGGCUUUUUCUCAAUAGCAACUGUUAGGAUGAUACAGAUGAUCAUUUUCAAUGAUGUCUACUAAACCACACCAACGACAGAUGGAUAGCGGCAGGUGUGUGCAUCUUACCUUUGGCAGCACCAGUAAUAACCUAUACAACAAUUGUUUGUUGUUAUAAGUUUACGUUGGAAGGCAAGAGAAAAUAUGAAAAGGACUUAGCGUAUGCUGCUAACAGUCACUGUAAAUAAAUUAAAAAUUGUACGAGAUACCACAAUGUUGUUUGACAGCUGAUACUGUAAUAUCAUGUAGUGGAGUCAAGCUUGGUGGUCAAGAUACUUGCCAUUCAAAUCCCUGGGUUCAAAUCCCAGCGCAGGACUUUUUUUUACGACAAAAAAAUAACUCCACUCCUCCCUAAGCCUCAUAAUGAGACUUUGCAGAAUAAUGAACACUUGUUUCAUUAUAUCUUUUAAUUUUGAUUUGUUCAAAUGCAAGUUAAAAAAAUAUGUUAAUGAUAUUUAAUUGUUCUUUUUUGUUUAUCAUUAUUAUUAUUCCAUUAUUAUCUUAUUAUUAUUAAUAUUUUUAUUAUUAUUAUUAUUUUAUUUCUUUAUUUUUAUUUUUUUCUGGGAGCAGCACAUCUCUUAGAUGACAGUGGUUUCGCUUUUGCUGCUCCCUGGCUCACCUGAUUUUCUUUGUUUGUGAAUUUCCGAUUUCUUGUAUUUGUAAUGUUUUAUUGUUUAAAGAAUUUAUACAGAAUGAAUAAAAUAAAAUAAAAAAUAAAUAAAAUAAAGGAAAAGUACAAUUCCUGAAUAAUAACAAAAAUAAUAAUGAUCAUAAUAUGCAUAAAUAAUAAACAAACUUACAUUUGAAUUGUAGACGAAAUAAAAUUCUAUCAUCCAUUAAUGAUGCACCCACAACUAAACCAUCAUAAGAAAAGCUGAGUACAGGUCAAAAAUAGUAAACCAUCCAUGUAAGAAAAUGAAAUACAAGAAAAGAAUACAAUAUGUAACAUUAAUUUCAAUUUCCAAACAGAGUGCGCCUGAAUAUCAGCUGACCUUGUAGGACACACAGGAAUGGUUACAUCACCCUCUCUAUAUAAUCUG